AAAAAAAUUCUAAAUAACAUUCUGGGAUUUUUUUUGUUGCUUGUUUUUUGUUUUGUUUUUGAGUGGAGUAUCAUCUCUGAAAAAAAAAAUUAAGUUUUAAAAGAAUCCACAGCAUAUACCAUUCUAAGUUUCCCUAAUCUGUUUAUUUGGGUCUAUUUGUUCAUACUGGAGGCUUUCCUCAAGUGCCCAUUAACCCUUGGUUAUUUAUGAUACAGAGAAGAGAGAUGGAAAUGCUGAUUGGAAGUUCCACACAAGUGCAUGGGCCUUCUCAAAUCAGAGGUUCUUUUACUGUGGGGUAUCUGGAUGGGCUGUUAGUUGAGGGAUCCCUGAGGUCAGUGUGUUAAAGUCUUUUCUCUUUGUUGGUCUGCUCUCUUAGAGAUGAAUCUUCAGACUGGAGAGUAGAGGUCUGAUGUCAGCAUUAGGAGCUGAGUGGGAAGGGUGUGUGUGCAUAUAGCCCCAUGCUCUCUGUUUCUUGUUGCACCUGAGUCCAGCUAUGCUUGGUAUUCCCCAGGCUAGAGACCCCUCUGUCUUACCCUCCACAGAGAAGCAUCCCAGUGUCUGCUGAGAGAGAACAAGUUGGAGUGGGGACAGGGAUCUAGGGGUUUGUUUGUACCUUGAGCACCUUUUUACCCCAGCCUCCUUAAUUCAGCUGCUCCUUUCCUCUCCUCCAGGACCUCAGCAUCUGGGGAUGCCAGUGCCCGCAUCUUUGGAGGAGUCUGCUGUGUACCUCAUUAUUUCUCAGCCUUCCCCUCUGCUGGUCAGGACUCGCUUUCUUUAGUCUACUAGAUCCUUUGCCACUUGUCCAUAUGCUUUGCAGCUUCCAAACUUGUGUUGUGGUUGAUGCCUGUCUUCCUGGUCCUUGUGGAUUUGUGUGUGUGUGCUUGUAUGUUUGAAUUCCUUUACUGCAGUUUUAGCUGAGUUUGGGGUACAAGCUAUCAGAUGUGUAUUUCCAUCCACCAUCUUGAUGUGGAAGUUCUUUUUCCACUUUGUGUUCAAUGUUGGUCAAGACCCAUGAAACUGACCCCAUGCCCGAUAGUCACUACUCGCAGGUCAGAAAUGCUCAUUUGAGGUGGACAUUUACAGCAUGCCUGCAGCUUUUUUCUUCUUUUAAUUUAUUGUUUUGAAUUACUAGUUUCCUUUUUCUCUGUGUCCUUGUAUGUGACACUCUUUGACAUAACUCUUAUCAUGAUGGGAGUCUACUUGUUGUCCUGUGUUUGUGAACUUUCGCCAUUGCUUGGACAUAGAUGUUUAUUGACAUGCUUGCACAGUCUGACUGGGUCUUUGGCCAAUAUCAGCAACUCUAUUCCCAAAUCACUUCUAAAACAGUUAUACUCUCUUAGAUUUCUUUAAAAUUAAAAUCCUUACUGGGAUGCAUUAGAUUUAUACUUUGUUUCUUUUUUUCUUAGAUUUAUACUUUUUAAAAAUUAACUUACUCCUAGCAAUAGGACUAAAAUUUAGCCAGAUAAAACCAUAAAUUUUUAAAACCAGUCUUCAUUCAUAUAUGACAUAUAUGAUAAUACAGUUAUUUCCACUAGAUUUCUUAGAAGAUGUCAUUGUGAUCAGCCUGACCUUCAGAUAAGAUCUUCAGGCUGGGUGUGAGCCACUGUGCCUGGCCAAUACUCAGAUUUUAAAAGUCAUGGAAGAUAGCCAGGCAUGAUGGCUCACACCUGUCAUCUCAGCACUUUGGGAAGCUGAGACGGGAGGAUCGCUUAAACCCAAAAAGUAAAAAAAAGUAAAAUUUUUUAAAAAGUCACAAAAGAUAAAAUGGUUUUAACCACCAGACAAUUAAAGAAAUAAUACUCAAAAUAGUUCCUGUUUAAAAUUACAUUUUUUAAUGCUUAAAGGAAUUAUAUUGACCAUUUUAUUGAAGCUUAGAGGUUAAGCAAAUCAGCCAAUUUGGACUCUCAGAUAUGUGUCCUCAGCCCACUUGGCAUCUCUGCGUAGAUGUCUAAUAGACAUUACCAAAAUAACUCCUUUCCAACCAAACUCCUGGAUUUCUCUCAAAAAUCUGCUCUUCCUGCUGUCUUCCACAUCUCAGUAACAGCAAUGUCACUUUUUUUUCAGGAUAUGGCUAUAUCUUGCACUUAAGAAUAUUCCUGGCCCGUGGUAGGCACUCAGUGAAUAUCUGUUGAAUGAAGCAGUUAUUGGCUAUUUCUAUAAAAAUUAAUUAAAAUUAAACAAAUUUUAACAACAAGGGGCAACUCAUCAACUCGUUUUUGUUAAAAUUUUACUUUUCCUUCCUUUCACAUGCGGAUUUGUCCUUUGCACCAUGAUAAAGCAGAAUGGGAAUUCUGUGUUGAGGACUGCAGUGAUGAUGCUAGUUCACUUCCUGUAAUGUGCCUGUUUCCAAGCACCAGCUAAUAACCUGUACCACACUGUUGAGCUGAUACAGAAAUGACAGUUGACGGAAUGGUCACAAAUCUCCAUUUAUUUGACAUAUGUAUUUAAUGAAGAAAAUCUUUCUUGAGUACAUUUACAAACUCCAGCAGUGACUGUCAUUAUGAUGGAAAAUAUUCACGUUCUGUUCCUUUUUUUUUUUUUUUUUUUCUUGAGACAAGGUCUCACUUUGUCACCCUGGGGUGCAGUGGUACAACAUGGCUCACUGCCGCCUCACCUCCCAGGCUCAAGCAAUCCUUCCAC
rnacentral:lncRNA from 10 species